GUGAGCUCGAGCAAAGACGAACAAAACGGUAAGAAUUACUUUGAAAUGACAUAAACUCAAAUCAAACCAUGUGACAAUUUGUUAAUUGAAUUGUGUGCACACAAGUUAGAAAACAACUACCAUAAAUGCAAUGAAAGCAAAUUUAUUUCAACCACAAAAGUGUGUAAUGUGAUUCUUCUAAACUGAAACAAAUUUAUUAUGGUGGUUGAGGCCACCACAGACCCGGUUAGUUGAAUAUAUCCUUUAUUUAGUCUAACAAAAAAGCUUUUGCUCAGAAAUAAGACAAAAACACUUAUCCAGAUUUAAGCGUUUGUACCGGAACCUCCAAGGACAGAACUCAGACUUCUGGAAAGUAAUUUAUACACAAGUUUGCUUUUAAAGUUAUGAGGCAAAAUAUAGCAAAAUCAGUAUUUUACUCCAAACUUCAUUUUGCACAUAAAAUAAUCACUGUGGCAAAUUUCUAAAUGCGGCUCUAAAGACAAAAAAGCUUUUGUGAAGCAUAAUAAGAAUUAUCCUCUUUUUGAUUUAGCUUUUGAGAUUACCUGAAAUCUUUUAGGGGUUUUAUCAAAAACAUAAUUGUACCAAGCAAUGAAGGACCUUCUCUGGCUCAUGGACUGCCUCAACACCAUCUGAUGUAAGUACUUACAGUCAUCACCACAGCUUACAUUGAUAAACUUUUAUGAUUCACUUAGGUUUAACUGUGCCAUUGAAGGUGGUAAGACUGAUUCUUUUACGUCAAGGUUGCCAACCCUGAAAAUCUCUUUUUUUUUCUUGGAAGCUGCUCGCUGUUAUUAUUCUCAGCUGGUUUUAGCCACAAAGUCAGCUACUCCAAAAAACAAGUACAUAUCAAUAUGCUGAUAAUGGAUGAAACAAACUGUAAACAGCAUCUGAAUAAUUCAGAGGUGUGCUGUGGUAUAUCAUUUUUAUAGGUGGACAGAGUCAGGCUGGUUAUUUCUCCCUGUACUCACAGUCCUAACACUUCGAUUGGUCCACAAUGUCCUAACUACACUCAGCUAAAAGCGAUACUGAAUCUUUUUAUCAUAAAAAUGGGCAUGCAGCAUCUUUUACAGGUCAUUUAAUUUGCAUAAUCAGGACCAUGGGCUUUACAGACAGAAUCAUGGACAGAAAAGUGUGUUUUUUUGUUGUACCGUUAACUGACAAUAAGGGUUGGGAUGAUGUUAUCAUAGUAGAAUCCUUGGUAUAAUCAUAAUAUAUUUUGUUUAUAAGCCCCUAUCUCAACAUUUAAGAUCACUUUACAGAUAAAAACAGUUCGAUAAAACAACCAGAUAAAAGCAAACACGGUAUAAAAUGGAACAAAGUGAUUACAGAGUAGGCUUUUCUUAAAAUUUGGGUUUUGAGUCUAAUUAAGAGUAGUUGCUGUUUUUUUGUCACACUGAUAGAAUAUAACUUUCAACAUCAUUAGAAAUGUGUGAUAACAUGUGAGUAAGUCAGUUGUGUUUAUUAGUUAAGUUUCCAUGUCGCUCCACCAUUGACUUGCCUUUCAUUGAUUUUACUGGAAGUGUUUACUGUGAUCACCACAACAGAGGCAAAAAGUUGUUUGUAACACAAAUUUUCACUCACAAUUUGUGACGCAACCGGAUCACACUGGUUAUAUCAAAUCAAUCCACAGAAGAGAGGCGCAGUUCCCCUCUGCCUGUUGACACUAUGGUAAAACAUUUGGUUCUGUGAGCAUUUGUUUCUGUUUAAGACAAAAACAUUAGUGGUUUGUUGGUUCCCUAAAUUAGGGUGACCAUACGUCCUCUUUUACCCACUUUUUGGGGGGCUGUCUGGCCUUGUCCAACUUUGUCCGGGGAAGUUUAUAAAAUCCUUCAAAUGUCCGGGGUUUUGUAUGGAAGUUUUGAGAUCGUGACCCAUGGACUUACUGAGUUGGAAGCGUGUAAAGAACACUUAAUCUGACCCGGAAAACUUUCAAAAUUAACUAUGCAUGGACUCUGUGACUCCUCGUCUUGGUGAUUCAGAAUAUGGCCACCCUACUUAAAUCAGCCAGGCAGCUGGGCUUUUGAGGCGAGAAUGACUCAAGGACCACAGCUUCCCUUCUCUUCACUCUGGCUAGUGUUUAGGAUGGGAAAAUAAGAGUUGGUGGACACGGAUGUAAAGGCAGCCUGAGGAGGAUCCAGAUCAUCGCUCAACAGGAACAAGGGAGAAACAUCCUAUCCUACAAUCCAGGCAAUGGCAGCAGAAUCACAAAUGUAUCCUUGAGUUGCUAUUCAAUGCAAAGAGUGGGUGUGAAAACAACAAAUAUUUUAAAAGUUCUUCAGAAGCGUCUACUCCAGGGGCGCCGCUGGCCCUGCAGUCUGAGUGCGUACCACAUACACUGAGCUUAUGCCUCAAGCAGUCAGCCCAAGUUCGCUUCAAAGUAGAAUAACCGGAAUGAGAACAGCAAUGCCAACAUAAUUACUCCUGCAGAAAUCCUGUUCACCUUAUUAAAUCACUUUGCAAUGGAAAUGUUUACUUGAAUAUGAAUCAUAAUUAAUAAGCAGGCUCAUAUUUUAACUUGACCCUUAGUUCAUGCCUUUAUACACACCAUACACACAAGUGGAAAUGAGGCGUUAUUUGUCCUGUACAAAGGCUCUGGGACCGCUUCACUUCACCACCCAGGUCUACUCUAAACAGCACACCUACCAGCUCACUGUACAUCAACCCCCCACCUCCCAACAGACACACAUGAUCGGUGUUUUCACAGGCCGUAAAAAAAACUCAAAUUGCUUUCUUGUAAAGUAGUCUGUAUGGAGCCUUUUGUCCACAUUUCAUGGCCACUUCAGGUUCACUGACAUAGUUCAAAGGUUGAGGAGUGAGGAGAGAGAUAAAUACCUCUCAAAGCCAUUCACACCGCUCCUUUAAUCUACAAAGAAAACAAGAAAAAAGAACAAGAAAAUCACACAGUUGGAAGAUGAUACAUCUACCACUUUGAUAUGGUUGAGCUUCUGUUACCUUUUACCAACUUUUUAUCACCCAGCCUGAGAUUCUUUGACAACUUCAUGGCGUUGUAUUUUAUUCUUUGACAUGACGAAUGACUAAACUGGUCCAUCCAUCUCCUCAGUCAUUACAACAGAAAUCCGGCUGUCCAAAAGGCUCGGCUAAUCUGUGGGCGUUCUAGUAAGGGGAUCACAUCUAUCAUGUUACACACCUGUGCUGCUGUUCUUCACUACAGAGGCAAGGUCAAGUUUCGCACACACACACACACACACACACACACACACACACACACACACACACACACACACACACACACACACACACACACACACACACACACACACACACACACACACGCAUACAUGGUUGGCUUCAAGCAACUGGUGUUAUAAAACUCUCAACCCAAUAAACUGCAAGGUCCCAAGAGCUAAAAGGACACAGCAUUUAAGACUAAGCAUUCAAAACAUUUGUGCAGUAGUUUGUUGAUCAUUAAAUGGCAAAAAUGCCAAGAUCUCAUCUCAUAUGAUUCACACAGUGUAGAUGUCAUCUUCCUGUCACUUUGACUUCAACACUAAUGCUGCGUUCGAGUUACCUCCGAAGUCAGAUGUCAGAGCUGGGAAUGAUGUCACAUCCAAGUUACCAGUGUUUCAGUUACCGAGUCGGAAAAAAGCAAAAUCAGAGGCGGAAACAAGAUGGCUACAUCUACGAAAGUUAUUUAAGCGCUUAUCUUGUCCUUGCUUAUAUUCAGGCAAGGGCUAAAAUAACUUGUGUAGAUGUAGCCAUCUUGUUUCCGCCUCUGAUUUUGCUUUCUUCCGACCUGGCUGGUAACUCGGGUGUGACAUCAUUCCCAGCUCGGACUUCUGACUUCCAAGGUAACUCGAACACAGCACGAGAACUGUAUUUUUAAUUUCAGUAAUACAAGAAAAAUGUGUGUUUUAAGCCAUGAUAGCAGUCUGGGUUUGGGUUGACUGGUUUAAUAAUUAUGCAAGCUUGUUUGACACCAGAUACUACUUUAAAGACUGAAGUCUGACCCCACAUAAAAAAGCCCAGACAGACAAACACAGAGGUUUGAAGCUGAUUAAAGAGGGUUAAAAGGUUUUAUUUUAUAAGGAUAUGAAGAGGUAAAUAAGACAAAGCUGGGAUAGCUGGGAUCAUGUUAAAUGGACACAUUACAUUAAACUAUCAAGGAAACAUGAGCGCAACCAAAUACCAAACAAAGACACACUCUUUGUGUAUUAUCUUAAAAUAUGUCAGAAUAAUAAAUGACAUCAUAUUAGCAUAGCAGUGUUGUUGCGGUCAAAGCACAGCUGCUUAAAUUUGUCAUGGGCCUCAAGACAUCUAAUAUUAAGAGAAAAAACUUCAUCAUGCUCUCGAUGAUGAUGUUCAAAUAACGCACAGAUAAUGUUUGAAAGUAGUUUAAAAUUCCUAAUCAUACACGGAUUAAUCCUGCAUAGAUAAGCUCUGUAUCGUAGUUGACACACAUUGUACGUUCAGAAGUAUCUAGAGUGCCUCUCGGUCUGCUUUUGUCCUAGAUCACUGUGUGAUUUUAAAUGCACUGCUUUUAAUUGAAAAGAAACAGGUGAUUUGAUCAAUCAAGGUUGAUGCCAGGCUGACACCACCGCCUGAAAAUGUAUUCCGCCCAUUUCCAUCUGCACCACUCACACAAAACACGCCUCUGGCAGUCGGCUUAAAAGUCAGACACUGUGCCCUUGUGCUGUGUGCCUUUGACUGAAACUGAGCCAAGCACCAUUAGUUCACAUGAAUAAAAGCCUCUGAGACUUCAGUUUGAAAGAUUUAUGUCACAAAACUAAAUUGAUACAACCACAUGUGUAUUAUUCUCUGUAGCAAUAUUAUAGAAUUUAAAGUCGGAGUGUAAAAAAAUCUACCCUGAGAUUUUAUCUACCUUAUGUCAAAUGUGGAAGACCCAGCAGCCUUUGCUGUUCAACCCAAGUACUGUGGGUCAUUGGUGUCCUGACACAAACCGGCCAAGCAGAUGGUCAUUUGUUAAAAUAAAUUACCCACCAUGCAUUUCCCUGAUGGGGAUCGCCUGAAUAGGAGAGAGAACAUUUGUGAUGCAAGAGGUAUGCCGUUCGGCUCAUGAGGUUGUUUAAAAUCCUCAACGGAGACGACUACUAGUGCUACUUUUGAGGUCAAACUGUGACUCAGAUUCUUCUCAUUACUCACAAUUUGUGAAAUGACAAUCAUUAAUUAUAUCCUUAAAUUUAUAUUUCUUUCUGUUUUUACUAAUUUGACCAGGAGUAUGUUCAGACUUUUUGAUGAGAGAGGUAUAACUCGGGCACUGACAUAGGCAGUGCCUCACAUAUAAAUUAACUGCAUUUGCCCUCUAGGUCUUCAUUGCCUACUUUAUUAUGUGCAUAUCACACAGCUGUUCAGCUGUUCCUUGUCCCUAACAAGGCAAAUAGCCAUUGAUAGCAUUGGUUAUUUGGAUUUUGGGGCCAGUGCCACCCUUUGCCAUCCCUGUUGAUAUGCUCCUGAAUAUCAUAAUUAAAAAACUUCUCUGUGGCCACAGAUUUUCCUGGUGUGCAAAAUCUCUGCCACAAUCAAUAGACAUGGAUUUCUGAUCAACCACCAUUGUUCGACAACACAAACAUGCGCACGGACGCAUUCCGUUCACAUUAGAUGCCGCAUUCGUUUUUGUAAUGUGAACGACCGCACAAAAAGAUUUAACCAAAAAAUCUGAAUUGUGCAUCAUAACCUGCAGUGUGAACGUAGCAAAAGUUGGCUAAAUGAAUCGUACCAUGACAACAAAAACUGAAAAUCUCUGUAUAAUGCUCAUUUAAAUAUCAUAUUUUCAUUUGGCAUUGAUGAUGGUAUGCAUUAGGUCCUGACUUCACAGAAAAUGGCCAUCUUUGCUAAUGAUAAACACUAUAAAGCCUUGUGCUGGAAAAGGACACUUUUGGUACUUCAAGCUGACUAUAAACUUACCCAACAGUUUAUUUAUUUAUUUACUUGUUAGUUUGUUUUUUCAUCAUACUUGAAUCAGUAAGGGGCUUGCCAUACAAAACUUAAUGUCAGUUUGCACUUUUACUUUCAUUUAACUACAUACAUGUGACUUCAAUAUGUUAUUCGCAUCCGACCUUAUUCUCUGAUCUGUGAAAACAAAAACUUUGUAUAUCAGCACCAUGUGUAAGAACAGCAGAGGCUCACAUAAAAACUUCUAAGAAACUAAAUAAAACUACAUACAAGCUGUACACAGCCAGUACGGCUCAGGUUAUACGACACUUUGGAGACCAUCCUUAUUGCUGCUGAGCCCAUAUGUCUGGAUCUUGACUGCUGAUAGCUGACAUUUCAUGCCAGUAAAGCACUCCAUUUUGAUCUUUGAAAAGUAAUGCUGUUUUACUUGACUUUACUUUUAAUUCCAACUUUCAAAGAUGUGGUCACAACACAAAAUAACAGACUGGACUCAAAACAUAAGUAUUUAGUCAGUCAGUUGCAUUUUGCCCUUACAAAGCAAAAGUGGGUCUAUACUACUUCAUAUCUACGCUCUGAAUGACGUCUGAAAUCACAUCUUAAAGGGCUACAUUGCCAAAUUGGCCGUUUGUUGCCAAUAACAACAGGAUUAACCAAGGCACAAAAAUCCUUAACACCACAAUCAGUAUCCUGCAAAUGAAGUAUAUGUUGCAGUAGAUGAUGUCCUGCAUUCUGUUGUUCCUUUAACAGAUACUCGUACCUAAAGUUAGGCAUCACCUUUACAGCUGCCUCAAUCUCUAAUGUGUCCGACAGACUAAAGGCACAAAGCAAAAUCACCAACUUUUAAUGUAGAUGCUCUGAAAUGUAAGUUACACCUGUAAGUAUUUCCAUGGUUUGAAAACAGCAUAAUAUCUUUAUCAUUAUUUCCAUGGGGCAAAUUUAUAACAAAUGUUAUUAAAGGAUAGUUUACUGAAAGAAUCUUGUCAUAUUACUCACAGAGAGCCAAAAUAAACCUACCAGAAGUCAAGCAUAGUUUGGAGGCAGUGUAGGUUUCUGAUUUGGGUGCAUUGUAGAGGAAAGUAGAAAUGAUUUCUGACAAAAUGACAUUAUUCAGGGCAGAAAUUAGUGCUCUCUGAUGAAUGGAUUGGUGUACUUGCCACUACCCAUUCUUGCAUUAUCAAAGGUAACACUGAUAUCAUUAUUGGAACAAUUCUGAGGUGAAGAUUAUCAAACUAGCUAAGAAUUGUAAGAUAUUGGGAGGUCUGAAUUGAAAUCAUUGUGUUUAUGAGAGAAACUGACUCAAAAUUUUGUUUUUAUCUACAGGUAAUGAACUCUUAUUUCCCUAAGAUCACGAUUCAUUUGUGGUCUGUUGCAGUCUGUUUAAAGACCAUAACUACAAUACUGUUAUAAUAAUGAGCAUCUAUAAGAAUACAAGAGGCUACAGAGAAAUAAUAACUAAAGAAAACAAGAGGCUUUGCAUCGUCUAUCUGUGCCCAAAUCUGUAAGGUUUUACAUCUUCCUUAACAUUUGGCUUCCAAAACAACUGUUCAUAUAAGACAGAUCUCAGUUAUUACAUGCUCUGUAAUUCUAUAUAAAAGAAGCCUAUAGAAAUAGUUAUACUGCGUAGAUUUAUCACCAAGACAUACAUCCAUUAUGGGUUUGUAAAACACACAAUAUGUAACACACAAACAUUUUUCUUUUCAUAGUUGCUCUAAAGCUAUGUGAAGAUGCACAGAAAAUAACCGGCUCUGUGUAACACUCUUUGAACUCAACAGGAAAAAAUACCUGACAGGGAUUGUUGUGCUGUGGGGUGUUGAUCCAUGCAUUACCAUUCCCAGUGAAUUUCAAUAAAGUCUAAAUAUAGUUGUUUUUUUUCCUCAUUCCAAAUUUAGGUUAGUGGGACGCAGGAAAAUGUCUUGUCUUUAGCUGUAGUCCCUCAGGGUUUGUAGUCUCAACAUCAAAGCACUGCUAGCUGAAGCUUUAGAAGAGGAUACACAGUUUUCUUAAACACACACGCAAACACACACAAACCUUUUUCUUUCUUUCUUUGCUGAAGAAAUAACUAGCCAGCGGGCAAAAAGUAGCAAAGAAACCGUGAACGUUCAUUAUUAGAUAAUCUAAGAAUUGUUUUGAUAAUUUUACCUCAACUGUGUAUUCUCAUGUAAGUUUAACGAUUAUUCAACAAUUAUUUAUUAUUCCCUUGACUGACUCUAAAGCAACCCCCAUUCAGAACUGGUACUGCACUGCUCAUUUUGUGCAGAAGGCUAAGUGAGUUACACAAGCAUGGAAAAAUGUUGGGUUGGCUACUUCAAGCUCUUAAAACAUAUUUAUAUUAGCCUUUCAAAUAUGACUUAUUAGAAUUAUUUUUGCCUUUGACAAUUGAAACUGACCCCCAGACUUAACACAAAAGGAAAAAUAAUUUUAAUAAGUCAUAUUUGAAAGGCUAAUAUAAAUAUGCUUUAAGAGCUUAAAGUUGCCAACCCAACAUUUUUCUAUGCUUGUGUAACUCACUUACCCUUCUGCUCAAAAUGAGCAGCGCAGUACCAGUUCUGAAUGGGGGUUGUUUUAGAUUCAGUAAAGGGAAUAAUAAAUAAUUGUUGAAUAAUCAAUAAACUUACAUGAGAAUACAUGGUUGGAUUGGCAACUUUAGGCUCUUAAAGCAUACUUAUAUUAGCCUUUUAAAUAUGACUUACUAAAAUUAUUUUUUUCUUUGACAAUUGAAACUGACCCUGAGACUUCACACAGAAGAUAAAAAAAUGCAAUUUUAUUAUGAACACAACAACAAAGUUUUAAGGGAACUUUUUUAUUUGACUUUUAAAAAAAGUUAUUUUGUCAUGAAAAUUCCCCUAAUCUCAUAGAAUUUCUGGAGGAAAUGUAGAAGAAACCACAUAAUCAUGGUACACAUGACAAGAGAAGAUAGAGUAGAUACAGUUAGUCCAAAUGCUUAUGCUAACAAGGUGUCACUGCUGACAUUAUAGACAAAAACGCACAAGAUGCAUGUUUGGCGCAUUUGGUCACGGUUGCAUUCCAGCUCUGUUGGGCAAGUUACAUCGUCGCCUACUAGAGGCAUCUGAUAUGGAUUUUGGUCAUGAAUGUGUCCAGAAACUGAGAGGUUUUGGCAUAUUCCAGUGGUCACCAAUUAUAAGAACAACAGCAGCAUCGGAUCACAUUCACCUAAUAUUACAGUUAUUAUUUUUAGGAAAGUGGAAAGAUCUGCUCCAAGAGUAGCUGUCUUAAUACAAAUGAUUCUUAAGUCACAGAGAAGUUAAAAAUGACUUCUAACAUGAUGGUGUCUAUACAAUACAAUACAAGACAAAAACUUUACUGAUCCCCAAAGGGAAAUUUAUUAGAUGUGAAUCCCAAGAGUACAAAAGAAAAAUGUUACAUGCCCCAGGUUUGGUAAACCUGAUGUAUGGUACUAUAUUAGUCAAAUAAUUCAAUAAAAUCAUAUAGACUCAAAAUCUCAGCCUUUAUGAUACCAAGACAACCUUCUGCAGAGUCCAUAGCAACACAAUAAACUGCUAUUGUUGUGGAGAUAUAGAGUGAGUAAGGUCAAACUUCCAUGUGGUCUCUCUUGCCUCCACUAACUCUUUCACCAGGUAACCUGAUGCCUAAGCUUCCCAUCUGCUCGGCCACAGUGGCCUGAUACACUCAACUCAGGAGCUUAGAAAGUGUGAUUCAUGAAUGAUGACUGCAGAGUCUGACUCACAGACAGUAGACAAAUCCAACGACUGCUCAUAUUUUAAAAUAGUCUAUGCUUUUUCUAACCAAGACCGUGAAACUUUCCCCUGCAAAGAUAGAAUGACUGUGAGCACUUGUCUAAAAAUACAGUUGCACGUCAUGAACUUAUGAGGAGUACUUAAGUUAAACCAAUUGAGAGUAUGAUUUCCAGCUCUCCCACACUUUGUUCAAUGCCGAGGGAUUGCACAGUGCACUAAAUUUCUUCUGCUAACAUUUUAAACCCUUGAACUCUAACAUUUGUUGGUUUUCACCCAUGCGAUUGUGGUGUUAUAAUUUUUGUGUUGCUCCAGUCGGCAAUCUUUAUCUAUGCAUAUUUCUUCUAAGUGAUCUAGCUAGCUUCAUAUGAACUUGUUGUGACAUCAACAUGAACUUGCAACAGCUAGUUGGUAACUACAGCUGUGCAAGAAGAACCAAGUGGUGGCCACUAGUGUUGUGUCCCAUGGCAUGAUGAACUCUGGUGUUGACCAGUGUGUCUGGCCACUGUUACCCUGCUUUACUGACUGUAUGUAUGGCAUAAGGUAGGUUAGAGUGGUCCUGGAAUUUGUAUGUAAGCCUUAUUUAGUGUGAUGUCUAGGAGCACUUUAAGGCCCUGCUUAUACAUACCCAGUUAUUUUUAAAAACUGACACAUUAGCCAUCGUAUGUACCCUUCAUGUAGACCGAACAGAGAAUUCACCUCUGAAAACGAUGCUUUUUAAAAACUCUGGCUAGAGUAGAGAUUUCGGGAACGCUGGGGACACUGGAAGGGACGCUGUUGUUGUUGAUGCUAUGCGAGAUUCUGAUUGGCUAACGUGGGCUUCAGCAUCUUGCUACACUGCCACCCACAUGCUUCGUAUGUUCUAGAUGACAUAUAUACACAGGUUAGUGAAAACGAAACCUUUUCUGAAAACGUAGCUGUGUGCACACAGUUUUUUUUUUUAAAACAGCGAGGGUGAAAUGUCCAUUUAUGAAAAUAGCCAGGCACGUGUAAACGUACUCUGAAACAGCCACAGAGAGAUAACUCACCAGCAAGGAGAACAGGGCCCGGUGAGGGGUCCGGUGUCUUAAAUUGUCUUCUGAUUGGGAGAUUGAAGGGGAGAGUGGCCAGAUGACAUGUUGCUGUCAGAUCCUAAGAUGAAUGGAGGCCCUGAAUGGGACAUCCAUCUACCAUAAAUUGAAACAUACAGUAUAAAUGCUCUGGCAACUAAUUUAUGGUAACAUCAAACAUGCCUCACUGAAGUUGCUCUAACUUGCAAUUCCACAGGCACUUCUGGCUCCUACAAUAACAGUGCAUACAUGAUGUGAAAGUUUCCUUACAUUAAGUAUGAUGGCAGCUCAAGUUUUGGUAUUUUUAUAUGGAAUCCCAACAGGGUGAGGUAAGCCUCCGAUGUGUUAUUUUAUCCUGUUAGGAUUUUAGUUUGCAGAAGAAAAAGAAAACUUUUCAACAAUAUGCACUUUUCUGCUAAAAAUAAGUUCAAAUCAAAAUUUCCCCACUCUACAGUUUCCAACACCCACAUACACAAAACUACAAAAUCAUUAAUAAUAAAAUCAUUAUGAUACUUAUAAUAAUGUGGUGCUGAUGUGCCAAAAGAUUAAGUAUCUCCUUAUUUGAGAAACCUAUAUUAAGGUACAUUUCUACAAAGUGCUUCAUGGCUCUCGUUUCAACUAUUGUCCUCUUAAAGACAGGUUAGAGUACAAGGACUUUAUUCUGACUUUACCCUCGUAAGUGAUUACUCAACUAUGACUUUAUUCUCGUAAGUAAUGAUUUAACUACAACUUUAUUCUCGUAAGUCAUGAUUUUAGUAUGACUUUAUUCUCGUUAUUACAUUUUUACGACUUUAUUCUCGUUAGUAAUGACUUUAUUCUCAUAAGUUAAUGACUUUAAUCUCCAAGUCUUCUUUUUUUUUCUCAAUGUGGCCCUAACACUCCGUCGUACAAAACAUCUUAAUUGUUUAUCUUUUUUUUCUUUCCCCUUUUCUUUAUUUUUUGAAACAGAGUUAUUCAAAUGUUGCACAGACACUUUUCCUAAACAAGGACCAAACAGUUCCUGAAUGAGCCUGGUCUGAAAUGACCAGUGGCCGGUGGCAACCAGUGUAGAGAACUGCCUUGCCUCAUUGAACCACUUAUUUACAUGGUGUUGUUAUAUGCUUACUUGUAGCACAAAAUCAUUUUUUUAAAGAAGGUAGUGGUAUAUUGUGAUGGCCCUUAUCAGAGUCAUCUGAUUUGAUACUUCUCCUUUUAACAAUUGUCAUUUUCUAUUUAAAUUUUGUGCUGUGAAGUAAACGUAAGCUUUACUCUUAGCUUGAUCAUUGAUGUCACACGGGUGGUAAUCGCUUUAAAUGUUUCAUACAGGAAAAGCCCUCAGACUGUCCUCCCCUCUGUUUGAAGCCGUGUCAGCUCAUUUCUGUCUCUGUGUCAGAUGGUUUUCUCAUUUACUGCGCCCACCUGCCAGAGAGUGCAAAAAGAAGACUUCAGCCAUCAAGCCAGAGCGGAAAGCCCAAGGAUGGAGGAGUACUGAGGCCCCUGGGAGGCCGUCAUCCUCGGGUUACCCCGCUGAACAUAACUCUCAGUUUGGACAAAAGAGACUGAUUAAAGCCAGAUAUGAGGAAGCCACAGUCAGACAGAGGCUGGAGGGCUGACAGGAACAGAGAGGAACUUAAGUGAACUUUAUGUAAAUUUUCGAGCAGUAAAGUGGUAAUGAAUGAAACGUAUCAUUUUGUUAAGUGCCGCUCAAGAAACCGAAACCAGAUGUUUCCUCCAGUUGCUACCCAAAAAAAAAGGAAUU